GGGUUGUGAGGUUAAGCGAACAAGCGUACACGGUGGAUGCCCUGGCAGUCAGAGGCGAUGAAGGACGUGCUAAUCUGCGAAAAGCGCCGGUAAGGUGAUAUGAACCGUUAUAACCGGCGAUGUCCGAAUGGGGAAACCCGGUGCACUUCGGUGCAUCAUCGUUAGCUGAAUACAUAGGCUAACGAAGCGAACCGGGGGAACUGAAACAUCUAAGUACCCCGAGGAAAAGAAAUCAACCGAGAUUCCCCCAGUAGCGGCGAGCGAACGGGGAACAGCCCAGAGCCUGAAUCAGCUUGUGUGUCAGUGGAACGGUCUGGAAAGGCCGGCGAUACAGGGUGACAGCCCCGUACACGAAGGCACACAGGCUGUGAGCUCGAUGAGUAGGGCGGGACACGUGAUAUCCUGUCUGAAGAUGGGGGGACCAUCCUCCAAGGCUAAAUACUCCUGACUGACCGAUAGUGAACCAGUACCGUGAGGGAAAGGCGAAAAGAACCCCGGCGAGGGGAGUGAAACAGAACCUGAAACCGUGUACGUACAAGCAGUGGGAGCCUUCGUAAGAGGGUGACUGCGUACCUUUUGUAUAAUGGGUCAGCGACUUAUAUUCUGUAGCAAGGUUAACCGUAUAGGGGAGCCGAAGGGAAACCGAGUCUUAACCGGGCGUUAAGUUGCAGGGUAUAGACCCGAAACCCGGUGAUCUAGCCAUGGGCAGGUUGAAGGUUGGGUAACACUAACUGGAGGACCGAACCGACUAAUGUUGAAAAAUUAGCGGAUGACCUGUGGCUGGGGGUGAAAGGCCAAUCAAACCGGGAGAUAGCUGGUUCUCCCCGAAAGCUAUUUAGGUAGCGCCUCGUGAACUCAUCUCCGGGGGUAGAGCACUGUUUCGGCUAGGGGGCCAUCCCGGCUUACCAACCCGAUGCAAACUGCGAAUACCGGAGAAUGUUAUCACGGGAGACACACGGCGGGUGCUAACGUCCGUCGUGAAGAGGGAAACAACCCAGACCGCCAGCUAAGGUCCCAAAGUCAUGGUUAAGUGGGAAACGAUGUGGGAAGGCCCAGACAGCCAGGAUGUUGGCUUAGAAGCAGCCAUCAUUUAAAGAAAGCGUAAUAGCUCACUGGUCGAGUCGGCCUGCGCGGAAGAUGUAACGGGGCUAAACCAUGCACCGAAGCUGCGGCAGCGACACUAUGUGUUGUUGGGUAGGGGAGCGUUCUGUAAGCCUGCGAAGGUGUGCUGUGAGGCAUGCUGGAGGUAUCAGAAGUGCGAAUGCUGACAUAAGUAACGAUAAAGCGGGUGAAAAGCCCGCUCGCCGGAAGACCAAGGGUUCCUGUCCAACGUUAAUCGGGGCAGGGUGAGUCGACCCCUAAGGCGAGGCCGAAAGGCGUAGUCGAUGGGAAACAGGUUAAUAUUCCUGUACUUGGUGUUACUGCGAAGGGGGGACGGAGAAGGCUAUGUCAGCCGGGCGACGGUCGUCCCGGUUUAAGCGUGUAGGCUGACUUUCCAGGCAAAUCCGGAAAGUUAAGGCUGAGGCGUGAUGACGAGGCACCACGGUGCUGAAGUGACAAAUGCCCUGCUUCCAGGAAAAGCCUCUAAGCAUCAGGUAACAUCAAAUCGUACCCCAAACCGACACAGGUGGUCAGGUAGAGAAUACCAAGGCGCUUGAGAGAACUCGGGUGAAGGAACUAGGCAAAAUGGUGCCGUAACUUCGGGAGAAGGCACGCUGACAUGUAGGUGAAGCCCCUGCGGGUGGAGCUGAAGUCAGUCGAAGAUACCAGCUGGCUGCAACUGUUUAUUAAAAACACAGCACUGUGCAAACACGAAAGUGGACGUAUACGGUGUGACGCCUGCCCGGUGCCGGAAGGUUAAUUGAUGGGGUUAUCGCAAGAGAAGCUCCUGAUCGAAGCCCCGGUAAACGGCGGCCGUAACUAUAACGGUCCUAAGGUAGCGAAAUUCCUUGUCGGGUAAGUUCCGACCUGCACGAAUGGCGUAAUGAUGGCCAGGCUGUCUCCACCCGAGACUCAGUGAAAUUGAACUCGCUGUGAAGAUGCAGUGUACCCGCGGCAAGACGGAAAGACCCCGUGAACCUUUACUACAGCUUGACACUGAACAUUGAGCCUUGAUGUGUAGGAUAGGUGGGAGGCUUUGAAGCGUGGACGCCAGUCUGCGUGGAGCCAACCUUGAAAUACCACCCUUUAAUGUUUGAUGUUCUAACCUGGCGCCGUGAUCCGGCGUGGGGACAGUGUCUGGUGGGUAGUUUGACUGGGGCGGUCUCCUCCCAAAGUGUAACGGAGGAGCACGAAGGUCAGCUAAUCCUGGUCGGACAUCAGGAGGUUAGUGCAAUGGCAUAAGCUGGCUUGACUGCGAGAGUGACGGCUCGAGCAGGUGCGAAAGCAGGUCAUAGUGAUCCGGUGGUUCUGUAUGGAAGGGCCAUCGCUCAACGGAUAAAAGGUACUCCGGGGAUAACAGGCUGAUACCGCCCAAGAGUUCAUAUCGACGGCGGUGUUUGGCACCUCGAUGUCGGCUCAUCACAUCCUGGGGCUGAAGUAGGUCCCAAGGGUAUGGCUGUUCGCCAUUUAAAGUGGUACGCGAGCUGGGUUUAGAACGUCGUGAGACAGUUCGGUCCCUAUCUGCCGUGGGCGCUGGAGAAUUGAGGGGGGCUGCUCCCAGUACGAGAGGACCGGAGUGGACGCAUCACUGGUGUUCGGGUUGUCAUGCCAAUGGCACUGCCCGGUAGCUAAAUGCGGAAGAGAUAAGUGCUGAAAGCAUCUAAGCACGAAACUUGCCCCGAGAUGAGUUCUCCCUGAGACUGUAAGUCUCCUGAAGGAACGUUGAAGACGACGACGUUGAUAGGCCGGGUGUGUAAGCGCAGCGAUGCGUUGAGCUAACCGGUACUAAUGAACCGUGAGGCUUAACCUUACAACGCCAAAGAAGU
rnacentral:rRNA from 1 species